AGAGUUUGAUCCUGGCUCAGAACGAACGCUGGCGGCGUGGCUAAGACAUGCAAGUCGAGCGAGAAGCUUUUCUUCGGAAAUGCGGAAAGCGGCGAAAGGGUGAGUAAUGCAUGGGUAACGUACCCCCGGCUCCGGGAUAGUGCCGUCUGUUUACAGACUACCGAAAGGGGCAGUAAUACCGGAUGACAUCUCCCCGUCUCCUGACGGGAAGAUCAAAGGUCCGCCGGCUGGGGAGCGGCCCAUGUCGUAUCAGCUUGUUGGUGGGGUAACGGCCUACCAAGGCUUCGACGCGUAGCGGGACUGAGAGGUUGGCCCGCCACAUCGGGACUGAGACACUGCCCGGACACCUACGGGUGGCUGCAGUAACGAAUAUUCCGCAAUGGGCGAAAGCCUGACGGAGCGACGCCGCGUGCAGGAGGAAGUCCUUCGGGAUGUAAACUGCUGUCAGGGGCUAGGAAGGCAUGACCAGCCCCAGAGGAAGUCUUGGCUAACUCCGUGCCAGCAGCCGCGGUAGUACGGAGAAGGCGAGAGUUGUUCGGAAUCACUGGGCUUAAAGCGCGUGUAGGCGGGCUCGUUAGUCGGGUGUGAAAUCCCUCGGCUUAACCGGGGAACUGCACCCGAAACUGCGAGUCUUGAGUCAAUCAGGGGUCGAUGGAACUUCAGGUGGAGCGGUGAAAUGCGUAGAUAUCUGAAGGAACGCCAGUGGCGAAAGCGGUCGACUGGGAUUGUACUGACGCUGAGACGCGAAAGCGUGGGGAGCGAACGGGAUUAGAUACCCCGGUAGUCCACGCCGUAAACGAUGCACACUAGGCUGAGGGAGUUCUGACGCUUUCUCGGCCGUAGCAAAAGCGUUAAGUGUGCCGCCUGGGGAGUACGGUCGCAAGGCUAAAACUCAAAGGAAUUGACGGGGGCUCACACAAGCGGUGGAGCAUGUGGAUUAAUUCGAAGCAACGCGAAGGACCUUACCUGGGUUUGACAUGCACGGAUGAAACCUGUGAAAGCAGGGGACUGCCCUUGGGUGAAACGUGCACAGGUGCUGCAUGGCUGUCGUCAGCUCGUGCUGUGAAGUGUCGGGUUAAGUCCCUUAACGAGCGAAACCCUUGUCGCUAGUUGCCAGCGCGUAAUGGCGGGGACUCUAGCGAGACUGCCGGUGUUAAACCGGAGGAAGGUGGGGAUGACGUCAAGUCCUCAUGGCCUUUAUACCCAGGGCCUCACACGUGCUACAAUGGCCGGUACAGAGUGAAGCAAGACCGCGAGGUGGAGCAAAUCACGAAAACCGGUCCCAGUUCGGAUUGCAGGCUGCAACUCGCCUGCAUGAAGUCGGAAUCGCUAGUAAUCGCGUAUCAGCUAUGACGCGGUGAAUAUGUUCCUGAGCCUUGUACACACCGCCCGUCAAGUCAUGGAAGCUGGGAGUACCCGAAGUCGGCCCGUUAAAAGGCUGCCGAAGGUAAGCUCGGUGACUGGGACUAAGUCGUAACAAGGUA
rnacentral:rRNA from 1 species